ACAGCCGUUGCACACGAGUCAGUCGAUCCUAAGCCCUAAGAGAAAUCCUAUGCAGAUGAGGUGUCCUAAGAUCAUACAAAUUGCAACAAACAAAUAAAAAUUGAGCGAAAGAAACACACCCAUUGGGCGAAAGGGAAUCCGGUUCCUAUUCCGGAACCCGGCAGCGGAACCGCAUACCAUUCGGGCCCUCGUAAGAGUGUUCGUCGGGGUAACCCAAAAUGACCUGGAGACGCCGUCGGGAGAUCCGGGAAGAGUUUUCUUUUCUGUAUAAGCGUUCGAGUUCCCUGGAAACCUCUAGCAGGGAGAUAGGGUUU
rnacentral:rRNA from 1 species